CGCUAUCUACAGGCUUAACACAUGCAAGUCGAGGGGCAGCAUUUUAGUUUGCUUGCAAACUGAAGAUGGCGACCGGCGCACGGGUGAGUAACACGUAUCCAACCUGCCGAUAACUCCGGAAUAGCCUUUCGAAAGAAAGAUUAAUACCGGAUAGCAUACGAAUAUCGCAUGAUAUUUUUAUUAAAGAAUUUCGGUUAUCGAUGGGGAUGCGUUCCAUUAGUUUGUUGGCGGGGUAACGGCCCACCAAGACUACGAUGGAUAGGGGUUCUGAGAGGAAGGUCCCCCACAUUGGAACUGAGACACGGUCCAAACUCCUACGGGAGGCAGCAGUGAGGAAUAUCGGUCAAUGGGCGAGAGCCUGAACCAGCCAAGUAGCGUGAAGGAUGAAGGCUCUAUGGGUCGUAAACUUCUUUUAUAUGGGAAUAAAGUUUUCCACGUGUGGAAUUUUGUAUGUACCAUAUGAAUAAGGAUCGGCUAACUCCGUGCCAGCAGCCGCGGUAAUACGGAGGAUCCGAGCGUUAUCCGGAUUUAUUGGGUUUAAAGGGAGCGUAGGUGGAUUGUUAAGUCAGUUGUGAAAGUUUGCGGCUCAACCGUAAAAUUGCAGUUGAAACUGGCAGUCUUGAGUACAGUAGAGGUGGGCGGAAUUCGUGGUGUAGCGGUGAAAUGCUUAGAUAUCACGAAGAACUCCGAUUGCGAAGGCAGCUCACUAGACUGUCACUGACACUGAUGCUCGAAAGUGUGGGUAUCGAACAGGAUUAGAUACCCUGGUAGUCCACACAGUAAACGAUGAAUACUCGCUGUUUGCGAUAUACAGUAAGCGGCCAAGCGAAAGCAUUAAGUAUUCCACCUGGGGAGUACGCCGGCAACGGUGAAACUCAAAGGAAUUGACGGGGGCCCGCACAAGCGGAGGAACAUGUGGUUUAAUUCGAUGAUACGCGAGGAACCUUACCCGGGCUUAAAUUGCAACAGAAUAUAUUGGAAACAGUAUAGCCGUAAGGCUGUUGUGAAGGUGCUGCAUGGUUGUCGUCAGCUCGUGCCGUGAGGUGUCGGCUUAAGUGCCAUAACGAGCGCAACCCUUAUCUUUAGUUACUAACAGGUUAUGCUGAGGACUCUAGAGAGACUGCCGUCGUAAGAUGUGAGGAAGGUGGGGAUGACGUCAAAUCAGCACGGCCCUUACGUCCGGGGCUACACACGUGUUACAAUGGGGGGUACAGAAGGCGGCUACCUGGUGACAGGAUGCUAAUCCCAAAAACCUCUCUCAGUUCGGAUCGAAGUCUGCAACCCGACUUCGUGAAGCUGGAUUCGCUAGUAAUCGCGCAUCAGCCAUGGCGCGGUGAAUACGUUCCCGGGCCUUGUACACACCGCCCGUCAAGCCAUGAAAGCCGGGGGUACCUGAAGUACGUAACCGCAAGGAGCGUCCUAGGGUAAAACUGGUAAUUGGGGC
rnacentral:rRNA from 1 species